AAGUCGUAACAAGGUUUCCGUAGGUGAACCUGCGGAAGGAUCAUUAUUGAAUUAUGUUUUCUAGAUGGGUUGUAGCUGGCUCCCAGGAGCAUGUGCACACCUGUUUGGACUUCAUUUUCAUCCACCUGUGCACCUUUUGUAGUCUUUGUUGGGUAUUGAGGAAGUGGUCAGCCUAUCAGCUCUUGCUGGAUAUGAGGACUUGCAGUGUGAAAGCAUUGCUAUCCUCUACUUGGCCAUGGAAUCUUUUGCCUAUCAAAGUCUAUGUCAUUCAUUAUACCCUAUAGAAUGUUAUUGAAUGUCUUUACAUGGGCUUCCAUGCCUAUGAAAAUUGUAAUACAACUUUCAGCAACGGAUCUCUUGGCUCUC
rnacentral:misc_RNA from 1 species